rnacentral:rRNA from 1 species
UACGUAGGUGACAAGCGUUGUCCGGAUUUACUGGGCGUAAAGAGCGCGCAGGCGGUCGAUCAAGUCGAGUGUGGAAGCCCCCGGCUCAACUGGGGAGGGUCAUUCGAUACUGAUCGACUCGAAGGCAGGAGAGGGUAGUGGAAUUCCCGGUGUAGUGGUGAAAUUCGUAGAUAUUGGGAAGAACACCGGUGGCGAAGGCGGCGACCUGGUCCGUUACUGACGCUGAGGCGCGACAGCGUGGGGAGCAAACAGG